GGGACCUAGCAGAGGGAGACAGCACCCAUUAGAAAGUGGCAGCUGGAGAGGGAAAAACCCAACCUCACUUCCUUCAUCUGUCAGCAGCAGCAGGUCUGUACCCUGCAGUGUGGAACCCAGAUAGAGAGAACCCUCCCCUAGGUAACACCACCCUGGUUGUGCCCUCUGGAAAUCUUCUUUCUGCUUGUGGGAGCUGGAGAGCUGUGGGUGCCUUGCUGCUCUGGAGACCCUCUGGAGGGGGUUCACAGGGAUCACAGGAUUGUCAGGGCUGGAAGGGACCUCAAGGAUCAUCCAGCUCCAACCCCCCUGCCGUGGACAGGCACUCCAAAAGCAGUCCCACUCUCUGCCUAACGUUGUCCCAGCUGGCCUCAUGGAUGGCAGGAAGACUCUGCAGGGCACCCAGACCCAACCCUCACCCACUGCUUUAUCCUUCAAGAAAGUAUGACCAUCUAAUUGCCACUGACUGCCUUGAUGAUGUGUUGGAUGCAAAUCCAGCAUCUGAUGGCCAUAAAACCAGAGAAGCCAAGUGCUGGGAUUCCAGUCAUGAUGCCAAUAUUUCAGGUAUCCCAAAGGCUCCCUUGACAUAGCCUGGGAGCUUCAGCUCCUGCUCCAGUUUGAAAACUCUGCUGCAGAUGAAGGGUUAGCAGUGUAAGCUCAUUCUAAUGCCAUCUUUCUAUCCCUGCCUUGAAAUGAAGCCUAUUUUCUGGCAUGGUGAACCUCAUGAGGUUCAACAAGAACAGGUUCAGGGUCCUGCAUCUGGGAUAGAAUAAUCCUCACUACGAUCCCAGUCUAGGGGAGAAGGGAAUAGAAAGCAGCCCUGAGGAACAAGACUUGGGUGUGCUGGUGGGGGAGAAGCUGGGCAGGAGGCAGCAAUGGGCACUGGCAGCACAGAAGGCCGAGGGCAGCCUGGGCUGCAUCCAAAGCAGCGUGGCCAGAGAGGGAGAGAGGGGAUCCUGCCCCUCUGCUCUGCUGAGACCUCACCUGCAGGGCUGGGGCCAGCUCUGGGGCCCUCAGCACAGGAAGGACAUGGACCUGAUGGAGAGGGUCCAGAGGAAGGUUCAGAGCAGCUCUGCUGUGGGCACAGGCUGAGGGAGCUGGGGGUGUGCAGCCUGGUGAAGAGAAGGCUCCAGGCAGACCUAUGAGCAGCCUGCCAGGACCCAAAGGGGCUACAAGAAGGCUGCAGAGGGACUGCUGCCAAAGGCCUGCAGGGACAGGACGAGGGCAAAGGCUGCAAAGUAGAGCAGAGCAGAUUGAGAUUGGCUGUGAGGAACAAGUUCUGCAGCAGGAGGCUGCUGGAGCACUCCAACAGGUUGCCCAGGGAGGUGUUUGGGGCCCAUGGCUGGAGAUACUGAAGGUGAGGCUGGAGAGGGCUGUGGGUAGGCUGCUCUA